AUGUUUAUUACACUCACGUCCUAUAAAAUAGUUUAAAAAACGUUGACUAAAAUCGGCUGCUCUUGUGAUUUUACCAAGUCACGGACCAUUAUAAGGGUGCCGACAUACACUAACGGCAACUUUUGAUUGAGUAAGUUGAUGGGUGGUGCGAUGAGAGGGAUUCAAUCCAGCAAAAUGUCCACAGCCCUGUCUUUACGUUGUGCGCUGAUCAUCCUUCAUUUGAUAAUGGAAUUGCCAGGAACAGAGUGCCAAGCAACCUGUUUCAAAAACUCCU